UCACGCUCUAUCUACUGUUCCAUUUCCUGCGCGGCCAGCCGGCCACCAUAGUCCAGUGAAAAACUCCUAAUCUCCUAUACCCAGAGAGAGAAUCUAAGCAGAGAAGGAGACAGGGCCUAGUCUGAAAUGUUAGAGACAAUGAAAUUUUCAAGUACUUUGACAGAUGGUUGAACUAGGAAGACUGAGGAGGAGGAUAAUACACUGAGAGCUGCUGUGGAAGCUUUUGGUGAGAGUAAUUGGCAGGUUGUUGCUGCUUCCCUUGAAGGACGGACAGUUACCCAGUGCUCCAAUAGGCUCCUCGUCAGCCGGAUAGUAACCAAUGCGGUUUCUAUGUCAUGGCUUACCUGAAGACUUUAAUUGAGAACAUGCCGGACAUUGAUGAUAAAGAUUCUGUUCAAGCACUGUUCCAACAAGUUGAAUAUGACAAAGCGGUUAUUGAU